rnacentral:lncRNA from 1 species
CACAAACGCCCGCCCUUCUGCCUGCCCCUCGUCUGGCUCUGCGUUUCUCCUCAGCAUGUUGUCACCUGACACGCUGUGGACUCGAUUUGAUUUGUGCGUCCUCAUUCUGUCCUCGCUAGGAUGGAGGUUCCACGAGAACAGGGCUUUCCUCUGGCUGCUGACGACGGAGCUCCCGGCACCUGCACGAGUGCGUGGCGCGUGGGAGCAGGUGUGCGCUGAGUGCUCGGUGCAGUUGCUGGCAGCGCGUGCACGUCCGCAGCUGUGAGCGUAGCUCUAGCAGUGUAGACACCUGGGAAAGUCGGGGCCCAAUCAGUGAGCUGCUCCUGCCCCUCAUCCGCUCCAAAUUUUGAGUCUGUGUCACCCACUUUGCAGCUUUUCCAUCUACUCUGAUAGAAUCGUCUCGAUAGGACAAUGCCUAUUCCUGUUCUGAGCCUAAGUUCUAUCUCCUGCAUGGGUCACAAAGCCGAGCCCCUGGCCACUGAGGCCUCCCCGUUCGCCUCCCAGAGGCCGCCACUUUCUUCAGGGCUAUCAGAUGAAGGCAGCAACGAAAACACCACCACAAGACCAACUUCAGGCUGGAGCUGAUGAUGCCACACAGCGAGAAAAAAGAAAAUAGACUCUACUUAGAAAUGAAACUCAACUAAAGGUAAAAGUUGUCAGGAACAUCUCCAAGAAAGCCAGAGUCAGCCUCUAAACUUUGCAUCAAGAACGCAAUGGCUUCCCUGAGGGCCCAGGGACGCGUGGCAGCUGUGAGGCAGCCCCUUCUCUGCUGUCGAGGAACUGGACACUUCUCCUGUCCCUUCCCACAAGAUAUAAAAGAUUCAGGACGUAGUGCUCGUGGUUGGGGUCGGGGACAUGGCAAGACAGGAGCGGAAGAGAGAGACGGAGAAGACGCAGGGGAACUGCAUCUGCCUCUGCUGCUCAGGAACAGCGUUGAGACCGGCGCAGGGACCAUGGGUGGGAGAGUCCUGAUGUACUCAAUGGGCUUCCUGGAGCUCCUGCAACCCCAGGCAUUAGUUCCGGUGCAGUUCUAGGAUCAGAUCAAUUCACUCGACAACAAGAGAAACAAAUGGAGAUUCCUACACAAAGACUUUCAAGCACAAAGAAAUCCUGCUGCCUGUAAAGCGGAGCUGCCUCAGCCCUUGAUGAACGACAGAAAAUACCACCUACUGCCAGACCUCAACGCCUCACAAAACUCUCACCCACCUACUGCUUUUAGCUCACAUUCCAGGAAUUCAGAUGAAGUGAAGUGCUCUCAUGGGGACCAGGCAUGGUUAUGCCAGUCCACUGCCCUGCAAGCCUCAAGGGAAGCCAACUGCCCUUCAGCAAGUCACACCUGCCUUGGUGGAGGCCUUGAUUGGAAGUGCCACACGCUACAUGUCCAGUCCUGAGCGGGAGAAUCGGUGUAGGGACGUUCUGGGGAUGCCAGCUGUGGCCAGAUCAGGUCCAACUACAGAAGAAUAAUGAAGACUCCACCUGAGGGCUGGAAAAACAAAACCUCAAGUGUGAGGCAGCCAACCUGUUACCUCGAGGGACUGUUCCGCAGCACAGCGGGGCCAUGGGAACAGCAGCAGACACCCCGACCUCCUCGCUACCUGUAUCAACUAUGGCCUGAGUAUGAUAGACUUAUCCAUGGUUUAAACAGAAUAUAUUGUUUUCAACUUUGAAAAUAAGAAUAUGGAAAUCCAGAUGCAGAAAUGUGAGAAGAAAAGAGAGUAAACAGAGUGGAAGGUCAGGUGACCUUGCCUGUCAUGAAUAUGAAGGUCAAGGUGUGUGAAUUGUGAAAUUUCCAAGAGAACCUCACUGAAGCAAAGAAUGAAGAAAGAAUUGCAUUUGGCCCUGGGAGGGUGCAGGGGUGAAUGGUGCAGGAGCUAAAUCUUUAUCAUACCCAGAAAUCAACAGCCACUAUUUGAAAUCAUCUAAAUUCGUGCUGCUAACCUUCAGUGUACACACGAAUCACCUGGGGAUCUUACUAAAAGCUAGUUUCUGAUUCACUAAAUCUGUGUGUGGUGGAAGUUGAGGGCAGAGAAGCUCCCGAGGGUGUCAAGCUGACUCUGAACCCGACUUUGAGGGUUAAGGUCCCAAAUGGCAUCGCCAGCACCAGGGACAGACACUAAAAUUGUAGAAAUCGUCUCAAGAAAUGAACAGCCUCUAAGUCAGAUGUUGAAUGUGAAAGAAAUCAGGGUGUGUACGUGUGUGUGCAUUUGUGUGUGCACGUGUGUGCCUGUGUUUGUCUCUGUGCAUGUAUGUUUCUAUGUGUGCACAUGUGUGUAUGUGUCUGUACAUGUGUGUUUCUGUGUGUGUGCCUGUGUGUGUAUUGGCUUAGAUCUGUUCGAGACUUUUUAUUUGAUGAGAUCGAUAUAUGCCACCACUUUUGGAAAGGACAACGUAUAUACAAAGACAAUGAUUACUUAUGUAAUGUGAACGGAGUCUCUCUUCGACCCUCAAAUGUUUUGUAGAAAGUAAUGAUGAUGGUGAGGAUUAUAACAAUGCGUGUUUCCUGAAUAACAAAAAGGAGUUACAGUACACUUUUACCUAUUUUUCCAAAGCGCUAGGUCAAGUUUAGCUAAAGUCUGCUUGGAAUUAAUGAGGCUUGGAAAUGUAAAAUCUCAGAGCAGUAAACAUCUCUUUGUCCUAAUGUUCUUAUGUAGCCAUUAAAACUUAAAUAUUAAUACUAAAAUAACUACUGUAAAAUAAAGUAAAAAUGUACGAGAAUAAU